AUUGAACGCUGGCGGCAGGCCUAACACAUGCAAGUCGAGCGGAGCGGCGGACGGGUGAGUAAUGCCUAGGAAUCUGCCUGGUAGUGGGGGAUAACGUCCGGAAACGGGAGCUCAUACCGCAUACUCUCAGAUGAGACUAGGUCGGAUUCGCUAGUUGGUGGGGUAACGGCCUACCACGGCGACGAUCCGUAACUGGUCUGAGAGGAUGAUCAGUCACACUGGAAAUGUGACACGGUCCAGACUCCUACGGGAGGUAGCAGUGGGGAAUAUUGGACAAGGGGCGAGAGCCUGAUCCAGCCAUGCCGAGUGUGUGAAGAAGGUCUUCGGAUUGUAAAGCACUUUAAGUUGGGAGGCGUUACCAACAGAAUAAGCACCGGCUAACGUCGUGCCAGCAGCCGCGGUAAUAC
rnacentral:rRNA from 1 species